rnacentral:rRNA from 1 species
GCUUGUCUCAAAGAUUAAGCCAUGCAUGUUCAAGUAUAGCAAGUGUACAGUGAAACUGCGAAUGGCUCAUUAAAUCAGUUAUAAUUUAUUUGAUAGUGAAAUUGUACAUGGAUAACCGUGGCAAUUCUAGGGCUAAUACAUGCGUCAAUGGUCGGUCGACCAGUAUUUAUUAGAUACAAAACCAAACGGCUUCGGCCGUCUCAUUGGUGACUCUGAAUAACUUUGGGCUGAUCGUAUGGCCUUGUGCCGACGACGUUUCCUUCGAAGGUGUGCCCUAUCAACUGUCGACUGUGAUAUAGACGCUCACAGUGGUUUUGACGGGUAACGGGGAAUCAGGGUUCGAUUCCGGAGAGGGAGCCUUAAAAACGGCUACCACAUCCAAGGAAGGCAGCAGG